ACAACACUGGAGUACUCGCCAGCAAAGCGUAUUUCCUGAGCCGAUAAUCUUAUCUUAGGAUUUGGGUUACAUACUUUGUUGAGCAGGCCUGCAUCGUCCGAUGAAUCAGGAAGCCGUAAUAAGUAUGACUCUUAUCCGCCCUGAACUUCACGGUUCAUGGUUCCCCUUUGUAGCGGUACUUUGGUAUUUUU
rnacentral:other from 2 species